rnacentral:misc_RNA from 1 species
GGAUGAAGAACGUAGUGAAAUGCGAUAAGUAAUGUGAAUUGCAGAAUUCAGUGAAUCAUCGAAUCUUUGAACGCACAUUGCGCCCCCUGGUAUUCCGGGGGGCAUGCCUGUUCGAGCGUCAUUUCAACCCUCAAGCUCUGCUUGGUAUUGAGUCCAUGUCAGCAAUGGCAGGCUCCAAAAUCAGUGGCGGCGCCGCUGGGUCCUGAACGUAGUAAUAUCUCUCGUUACAGGUGCUCGGCGUGCUUCUGCCAAAACCCCAAUUUUUCUAUGGUUGACCUCGGAUCAGGUAGGGAUACCCGCUGAACUUAAGCAUAUCAAUAAGCGGAGGA